AUUUUAGGUCUGUGAAGCCAAACUUGAUGCUGGGGAUUUAUUUUUGUCAGUGGAGUCAAAUGGUCUAGAUGAUCACAUUUGACUUUGUCAUUUAAAUGAGGUGGACUUGCAAACUUUGCGCUCUUUGGGAUUUCGAGACAGAGCUUAUUGUUCUCUGAACUUCCUUGUUUGCUGAACGGCAGGUUGAAGCAGAAUUUGCCCGUCUUACAUCUGUUGACCUGAAAGGGUUCCUUUUUGCUGUGCUUGACCAUUAUGGAGAGGUUCGUGGAGCUGUACAAAAUCAAGAGUGGCAUAGAAGGGCUAACUAGGCUCAUAAGAUGCUUCGGAGAUGAUAGCCCUACACAAAGGAAGAGGACAGAGGACCUCAUUUUCUAAAGGAAGAUCCCUCACACACUUUCAAGACUGUGAAGCCGACAGGUAUUGAAGACACGUUUUCUAAGAGGAUGAAAGUUGGCAUUGCGAUGGUGAAAGAAGAAGACAUCGAUGUGUUGGUUGUCCUUGAGGCGGCAGUAAUCCUGUCUAAUCUGAGGGAUGUCUCAAGUGCCAUUUCCAUGCUGAUGGGCCUUCUUUUUGCCCUCAACAUACACUAUCCAAAGGAACUUAAGGACAUCUUUGAAGUCAUUCAGAACAUCCUAAUGAACAUUGGUGGAAGGCAGUGCAUCUCACUAGUGCAUGGUCUAAGAAACAGACUCUUGCAGAAAGCCAUGCAGAACUGUAAUUGUAUGAUCCUUAGUGUUAAGGACAG
ensembl:lncRNA